CGGUGUUCAACUGGCGUGUCCGCGGGACGUCCUGCCGGUGGGCUUAGCCCGCAAGGGCGGCCCAACUUCAAAUCCCAUCGCGGUGCUCUUCACUGAGUGUCGAGGUGGGCCGGCACGUUUACUUUGAACAAAUUAGAGUGCUUAAAGCAGGCUAAAACUUCCCCUGAAUACUGUGUGCAUGGAAUAAUGGAAUAGGACCUCGGUUCUAUUUUGUUGGUUUUCGGAACCCCGAGGUAAUGAUUAAUAGGAACGGAUGGGGGCAUUCGUAUUGCGACGUUAGAGGUGAAAUUCUUGGAUCGUCGCAAGACGGACAGAAGCGAAAGCAUUUGCCAAAAACGCUUUCAUUGAUCAAGAACGAAAGUUAGAGGUUCGAAGGCGAUCAGAUACCGCCCUAGUUCUAACCAUAAACGAUGCCAGCUAGCGAUCCGUCGACGUUCCUCCGAUGACUCGACGGGCAGCUUCCGGGAAACCAAAGCUUUUGGGUUCCGGGGGAAGUAUGGUUGCAAAGCUGAAACUUAAAGGAAUUGACGGAAGGGCACCACCAGGAGUGGAGCCUGCGGCUUAAUUUGACUCAACACGGGAAACCUCACCAGGCCCGGACACCGGAAGGAUUGACAGAUUGAGAGCUCUUUCUUGAUUCGGUGGGUGGUGGUGCAUGGCCGUCCUUAGUUGGUGGAGCGAUUUGUCUGGUUAAUUCCGAUAACGAACGAGACUCUAGCCUGCUAACUAGGCGUAUUUUCGACAUCUCAAAGGUCCGUCGUCCCGGCCCUCGGGUCGUGGGCGUGCGCGAUUUUUACUGUCGGCGUACUAUCAAUUCUUCUUAGAGGGACAGGUGGCUUCUAGCCGCACGAGAUUGAGCAAUAACAGGUCUGUGAUG
rnacentral:rRNA from 1 species